rnacentral:sRNA from 1 species
AAAAAAAAUGACUUGUUUGUUUUUAAUUAAGAGAAACCUAGACGUAAACACUUCCAAUGGCACUUGAAGAUUAUGAAAUUAAAAGUCAUUUCCCUGAUUAAAAACAUCACGUAAAACUUAUUUUAUGAUUAAUACUAAGUGGGGGUAACCUUCUUGAUAAAAAAUUGUAAUUACGACAAAUCAUGAUACAAUAUGUUUAUUAAUUGUCAUUGUUUUUUUAUUCUUUCUAAUGUUUUGCAAUUCGACAACUUCAUUUGAAAAAAGAAAUCUGCAACCUCUGUACAACAUUAAAAUAAAUAUGAUGAACACAAUCUUUGAGGUGACGAUGCUUCAGAUAAAAAAAUGUACAACUUUAUAUUUUUUAUAUAUAGAGCUGCUUUCUCUAAAAAAUUUACUAAGCAUAGUAUGCAUAUAAAACUGAUGAUUAUUUAUUUCCUGAAUGAUUUGUACUGUAAAUAUUUAUAAAUACUCAUUUUACUGGACAUUUGUAUCAAAGAGGCUUACCUUUAUUAUAAAAUUAACGCCAAAAUGCAAUAUUACAAAAGCUUAACAAUCAAUAAAUGAAAUUAAAACUUGUU